rnacentral:rRNA from 1 species
GCAAGUCGAGCGACGGACCCACUUCGGUGGGGGACCGAGCGGCAAACGGGUGAGUAACACACUGGUAACCUACCUUCGAGACAGGGACAACUCAGAGAAAUCUGAGCUAAUACCUGAUAGUCAUGGGGGGUCAUAAGACAUUCCCAUGUAAACCUCCGGGGCUUGAAGAGGGGCCUAUGGCUGAUUAGUUUGUUGGUAAGGUAAUAGCUUACCAAGACUAUGAUCAGUAGCAGGCGUGAGAGCGUGACC